AGCGAGCGCUGGCGGCAGGCUUAACACAUGCAAGUCGAACGGUCCUUCGGGAUAGUGGCGGACGGGUGAGUAACACGUGGGAACGUACCCUUAGGUUCGGAACAACACAGGGAAACUUGUGCUAAUACCGGCUAAGCCCUUCGGGGGAAAGAUUUAUCGCCUUUGGAGCAGCCCGCGUCUGAUUAGCUUGUUGGUGAGGUAAUGGCUCACCAAGGCUACGAUCAGUAGCUGGUCUGAGAGGAUGGCCAGCCACACUGGGACUGAGACACGGCCCAGACUCCUACGGGAGGCAGCAGUGGGGAAUCUUGCGCAAUGGGCGAAAGCCUGACGCAGCCAUGCCGCGUGGAUGAUGAAGGUCUUAGGAUUGUAAAAUCCUUUCACCGGGGACGAUAAUGACGGUACCCGGAGAAGAAGCCCCGGCUAACUUCGUGCCAGCCGCCGCGGUAA
rnacentral:rRNA from 1 species